CCUACGGGUGGCUGCAGUGGGGAAUAUUGCACAAUGGGGGGAACCCUGAUGCAGCAAUGCCGCGUGGGUGAAGAAGCACUCCGGUGUGUAAAGCCCUGUCAGCCGGGAAGAAAAUGACAGUACCUGGACAAGAAGCACAGGCUACCUACGUGCCAGCAGCCGCGGGCAUACGUAGGGGGCAAGCGUUAGACGGAUUUACUGGGUGUAAAGGGAGCGCAGGCGGCGUGGCAAGUCAGAUGUGAAAACCCGGGGCCCAACCCCGGGAGUGCUCUUGGAACUGCAUGUCUGGAGUACAGGAGGGGCAGGCGGAAUGCCUAGUGUAGCGGUGAAAUGCGUAGAUAUUAGGAGGAACACCAGUGGCGAAGGCGGCUUACUGGACGGUAACUGACGCUGAGGCUCGAAAGCGUGGGGAGCAAACAGGAUUAGAUACCCCAGUAGUC
rnacentral:rRNA from 1 species